rnacentral:rRNA from 1 species
AAUCGAAAGAUGAAGUAUAGGAGCUGACGCCUGCCCAGUGCUGGAAGGUUAAGGGGAAGAGUUAAGACUUGAUCUGAAGCUUAGAACCAAAGCCCCAGUGAACGGCGGCCGUAACUAUAACGGUCCUAAGGUAGCGAAAUUCCUUGUCAGGUAAGUUCUGACCCGCACGAAAGGCGUAAUGAUUUGGGCACUGUCUCGACAAUGUACCCGGCGAAAUUGUAGUACUAGUGAAGAUGCUAGUUACCUGCGACAAGACAGAAAGACCCCAUGGAGCUUUACUGCAGCUUGAUACUGGGUUUCGGUAAUUUAUGUACAGGAUAGGUGGGAUGCUAAGAAGUAUGUGCGCCAGCGCAUAUGGAGCAGACGUUGGGAUACCACCCUUAAAUUACUGGAAUUCUAACUAUAAGUCCUAAGCGGGCUUGAGGACAAUGUCAGGCGGGCAGUUUGACUGGGGCGGUCGCCUCCUAAAGAGUAACGGAGGCGCCCAAAGGUUUCCUCAGCGCGGACAGAAAUCGCGCGAAAGAGUGCAAAGGCAGAAGGAAGCUUAACUGAGAGACAGACAUGUCGACCAGAUACGAAAGUAGGUCUUAGUGAUCCGGUGGUUGUAAGUGGAAAUGCCAUCGCUCAACGGACAAAAGUUACCCUGGGGAUAACAGGCUUAUCUCCCCCAAGAGUUCACAUCGACGGGGAGGUUUGGCACCUCGAUGUCGGCUCAUCGCAUCCUGGAGCUGAAGUCGGUUCCAAGGGUUGGGCUGUUCGCCCAUUAAAGCGGUACGCGAGCUGGGUUCAGAACGUCGUGAGACAGUUCGGUCCUUAUCUGUCGCAGGCGAAGGAUAUUUGAAGGGAGUUGACCUUAGUACGAGAGGACCAGGUUGAAGGAACCGAUGGUGCACCAGUUGUACUACCAAGUGCAUAGCUGGAUAGCUAAGUUCCGAAGGGAUAAACGCUGAAAGCAUCUAAGUGUGAAGCCCACCCUAAGAUAAGAUAUCCCAUAUCGAAAGAUAGUAAGAUUCCAAUAAGACUAAUUGGUAGAUAGGUUGGAGGUGUAAGUAUAGUGAUAUAUUGAGCUGACCAAUACUAAUAAAUCGAGGGCUUAACUAU